ensembl:lncRNA
AUUGAUGAUUUUAAAGCAAGGAACUUCAGCCAGAUGCAGAUCUCGUUAAGUUGUUGUUUGUGAUUGUUUCUUAUUUUCAGAGGAGAUGACCUAAAUUAAUGUUCUCUCUUAGAUUUCUCACAUUUGUUCUGGUUUGUCUCAGUUCGUUUUUAGUAUGCGCACUCGUUACGUGCACGUUUUCCACGGUACAAAGUGGGCGUUACCAAGGGAGGCUGAUUCUGUCCUAGUCUCUUCUCAAUGCUUGUAACUGACGGUUAGACUUACAGGUUAAGUCGUUGUCUUUUGUUUGAAUUGUUUACGUGUCCGCUGUGCGGGGGAAAUGAUAAUACAAGCGGAACUACGUGGCUAAUACUGUUGUAACGGGGAUCCUUAUUGUAGCAACACACUUUUGGAGGGAAGGCAAUCCUGCGCUGCGUUAGCUACAUUUUCAUGUCAUCAGGUGUAGUUCAUAAAGGUUGAAGAGUGUAUGUCAGGAUGAAGUGUGAAUUCAUGCCAGGAAUAAUAAGUGUGAAGUUUGAUUUCCUCCCUUCUGUAAUCAGCAGCCAAUGAGGACCUGAGCCCUAGGACCAUGCUUCAGGACUACCUGGCAUGAUGACUCCUUGCUGUCCCCAGUCCACCUGGCCGUGCUGCUGCUCCAGUUUCAACUGCUCUGCCUGCAGCUAUGGAACCCUGACCUGUUCACCGGACAUGCUACCUGUCCCAGACCUGCUGUUUUCAACUCUCUAGAGACAGCAGGAGCGGUAGAGAUACUCUCAAUGAUCAGCCAUGAAAAGCCAACUCACAUUUUCUCCUGAGGUGCUGACUUGCUGCACCCUCGACAACUACUGUUAUUAUUGUUAUUUGACCCUGCUGGUCAUUUAUGAACAUUUGAACAUCUUGGCCAUGUUCUGUUAUAAUCUCCACCCGGCACAGCCAGGAGAGGACUGGCCACCUCUCAUAGCCUGGUUCCUCUGUAGGUUUCUUCCUAGGUUUUGGCCUUUCUAGGGAGUUUUUCCUAGCCACCAUGCUUCUACACCUGCAUUGCUCGCUGUUUGGGAUUUUAGGCUGGGUUUCUGUACAGCACUUUGAGAUAUCAGCUGAUGUAAGAAGGGCUAUAUACAGUGGGGCAAAAAAGUAUUUAGUCAGCCACCAAUUGUGCAAGUUCUCCCACUUAAAAAGAUGAGAGAGGCCUGUAAUUUUCAUCAUAGGUACACUUCAACUAUGAUAGACAAAAUGAGAAAAAAAAAUCCAGAAAAUCACAUUGUAGGAUUUUUAAUGAAUUUAUUUGCAAAUUAUGGUGGAAAAUUGAAUGAGUAGGUGUUCUAAAACUUUUGACCGGUAGUGUGUAUAUAUAUAUAUUUGAUUUUUUUUGCCAAAAAAUGUGGGCUCUGCUCAACCUGCCCUGAUGACGGGUCGCCACUGCCUCUGCUGAGUCCCCAACAACCGGAUGUUCUGGUUUACAAGGGAAAUGGAAUGAGAGACUGUGGAUGUUCUUGUUGUCAGGGGAAAUGGGAAGAGAGCCUGUGGGUGUUUUGGUUGUCAGGGGAAAUGGAAAGAGAGCCUGUGGGUGUUCCUGUUGUCAGAGGAAAUGGAAAGAGAGCCUGUGGAUGUUCCUGUUGUCAGGGAAAAUGGAAAGAGAGCCUGUGGGUGUUUUGGUUGUCAGGGGAAAUGGAAAGAGAGCCUGUGGGUGUUCCUGUUGUCAGGGGAAAUGGAAAGAGAGCCUGUGGAUGUUCCUGUUCUCAGGGAAAAUGGAAAGAGAGCCUGUGGAUGUUCCUGUUGUCAGGGAAAAUGGAAAGAGAGCCUGUGGAUGUUCCUGUUGUCAGGGAAAAUGGAAAGAGAGCCUGUGGGUGUUUUGGUUGUCAGGGGAAAUGGAAAGAGAACCUGUGGAUGUUCUGGUUGUCAGGGGAAAUGGAAAGAGAGCCUGUGACACAACUUCUGCUUUUGGACGUUAACAAAGCAACACUCAAUCUUAACUCCUCCUCCACAUUUACUGGAUUGGUCGAACAGUGCAGAAGAGAACCUCCCCCAACAGGUAGUUUGAAGGGGAUCUAGUUUCAGGUGUUUCUUUUACACCUGCUACAGUAGGUUAUGGAUAACAUGACAAACCUCACUUGACUUGAUAGAACCUUCUUCCCAAAUGUGAUUAUAUAUGAGUGUGUGAUAUACUAUAGUUGCUGGAAUCAAAAUAAAUGAUAAGAUGGUUUGUGAGUAAUUUAUAAAUGGUUAAUAAUUCAUUUAUAUGUGUAUUAUAUCAAUCUGUGAUAACUCUGUAAUAAAAAUGCUAUACAUGCAAAUAUGUAAUAAAACACAUUGGUUGAAAC